rnacentral:rRNA from 1 species
UUACCCUGAAUGCGCCUGAUCUCGUCUGAUCUCGGAAGCUAAGCAGGGUCGGGCCUGGUUAGUGCUUGGAUGGGAGGAAGCUGGA